rnacentral:rRNA from 1 species
UACAGAGGUCUCAAGCGUUGUUCGGAUUCAUUGGGCGUAAAGGGCGCGUAGGCGGCCAAGCAAGUCCUGGGUGAAAUCCCUCGGCUCAACCGAGGAACUGCCUCGGAAACUGCAUGGCUCGAGGCCGGGAGAGGGUAGCGGAAUUCCCAGUGUAGCGGUGAAAUGCGUAGAUAUUGGGAGGAACACCGGUGGCGAAGGCGGCCACCUGGACCGGUUCUGACGCUGAUGCGCGAAAGCGUGGGGAGCAAACAGG